rnacentral:tRNA from 1 species
GGAGAGAUGCUCGAGUGGCUGAAGAGGCACGCUUGGAAAGCGUGUAUAUGCCAAAAACAUAUCGUGGGUUCGAAUCCCUCUCUCUCCGC